UACAUGUUUACUUUUAUAUUUGCUGUUUACUUACAUGUUUACCUUUAUAUGUGAUGUUUAUUUACAUGUUUACCUUUAUAUUUGAUAAAGUGCAUGUAUUUGUAUGGCACAGAAUGUAAAACUCAGCUGUCAGCUAAGGUGAUCAACCUAUUGACGCUGGAUAAAGUGACCAAACGUUAAUACAAUGGCAAGGAGUGACAGGAUUAUUAAUGAAUAACAUUACUUUCUGACGGGCUAAGGUAGUUGUUUACUUUCUGACGGGCUAAGGUAGUUGUUGUCAAUGAAUAACAUUACUUUCUGACGGGCUAAGGUAGUUGUUGUCAAUGAAUAACAUUACUUUCUGACGGGGUAAGGUAGUUGUUUACUUUCUGACGGGGUAAGGUAGUUGUUUACUUUCUGACGGGCUAAGGUAGUUGUUGUCAACUUGCUAUUGUUAGCUUCAGUGGUAUGGCUCCAUACAAAAUAGCAUAGAAUUCUCAAUUAUGCCACCUUCAAUUGUAUUUGAAAAUGUUUUAUGGGAUGGUCUGAACACAAUUAGCACAUUAUACCUCCCGAAGGGUCCUAAAUGUUGUGUUGACAACUUUACAUGUUUAAUGUCAUUAUUGCACUUACAUUUGUAAACGUUUUCCUU
ensembl:lncRNA